CAGCCGCCGCGGGAAUACGGAGGGUGCAAGCGUUAUCCGGAUUUACUGGGUUUAAAGGGUGUGUAGGCGGGUAUUUAAGUCAGUGGUGAAAUCUCCGAGCUCAACUUGGAAACUGCCAUUGAUACUAUUUAUCUUGAAUUUUGUUGAGGUAGGCGGAAUAAGUCAUGUAGCGGUGAAAUGCAUAGAUAUGACUUAGAACACCAAUUGCGAAGGCAGCUUGCUAAACAAAUAUUGACGCUGAGGCACGAAAGCGUGGGGAUCAAACAGGAUUAGAUACCCCUGUAGUCCCUGUCUCUUAUAC
rnacentral:rRNA from 1 species